rnacentral:rRNA from 1 species
CAGCUCGUGUCGUGAGAUGUGGUAGUCCCGCACGAGCGCAACCCCUAUUGUUAGUUGCCAUCAUUCAGUUGGGCACUCUAGCGAGACUGCCGGUAAUAAACCGGAGGAAGGUGGGGAUGACGUCAAAUCAUCAUGCCCCUUAUGACCUGGGCUACACACGUGCUACAAUGGUUGGUACAACGAGUUGCGAGUCGGUGACGGCGAGCUAAUCUCUUAAAGCCAAUCUCAGUUCGGAUUGUAGGCUGCAACUCGCCUACAUGAAGUCGGAAUCGCUAGUAAUCGCGGAUCAGCACGCCGCGGUGAAUACGUUCCCGGGCCUU